AUUGAACGCUGGCGGCAUGCUUUACACAUGCAAGUCGAACGGCAGCGCGGGCUUUGGCCUUGCGUCGAGCGGCGAACGGGUGAGUAAUGCAUCGGAACGUGCCUGGUAGUGGGGGAUAGCGCGGCGAAAGCCGGAUUAAUACCGCAUACGACCUGAGGGUGAAAGCGGGGGACCGAAAGGCCUCGCGCUAUUGGAGCGGCCUAGGUCGGAUUAGCUAGUUGGUGGGGUAAAGGCUUACCAAGGCGACGAUCCGUAGCUGGUCUGAGAGGACGACCAGCCACACUGGAACUGAGACACGGUCCAGACUCCUACGGGAGGCAGCAGUGGGGAAUAUUGGACAAUGGGCGCAAGCCUGAUCCAGCCAUGCCGCGUGUGGGAAGAAGGUCUUCGGGUUGUAAAGCGCUUUUGUUUGGGAAGAAAUGCUGUGAGCUAAUACCUCGGUGUUUUGACGGUACCGGCAGAAUAAGCACCGGCUAACUACGUG
rnacentral:rRNA from 1 species